rnacentral:rRNA from 1 species
ACGCACGCUGGCGGCGUGCUUAACCCAUGCCAGUCGAACGGAAAGGCCUGCUUUCCCUUGUGGAUUGCGGGUACUCGAGUGGCGAACGGGUGAGUAACACGUGAGUGAUCUGCCCCCAACUUGGGUAUAAGCCUGGGAAACUGGGUCUAAUUCCCGAUAGGACUGCAGGGUGGUGCCUGUGGUGGAAAACGAUUUUCUAGUGGUUGGGGAUGAGCUCGCGGCCUAUCAGCUUGUUGGUGGGGUAAUGGCCUACCAAGGCGGCGACGGGUAGCCGGCCUGAGAGGGUGGACGGCCACAUUGGGACUGAGAUACGGCCCAGACUCCUACGGGAGGCAGCAGUGGGGAAUAUUGCACAAUGGGCGGAAGCCUGAUGCAGCGACGCCGCGUGGGGGAUGACGGCCUUCGGGUUGUAAACUCCUUUCGACCGCGAGGAAGCCACCUGGUUGGAAGGGUGGUGACGGUAGUGGUAGAAGAAGCACCGGCUAACUACGUG